rnacentral:rRNA from 1 species
UGGGGAAUUUUGGACAAUGGGCGCAAGCCUGAUCCAGCCAUGCCGCGUGAGUGAAGAAGGCCUUCGGGUUGUAAAGCUCUUUCGGCCGGGAAGAAAUCGUGGUCUCUAACAUAGGCCAUGGAUGACGGUACCGGACUAAGAAGCACCGGCUAACUACGUGCCAGCAGCCGCGGUAAUACGUAGGGUGCGAGCGUUAAUCGGAAUUACUGGGCGUAAAGCGUGCGCAGGCGGUUUGCUAAGACAGGUGUGAAAUCCCCGGGCUUAACCUGGGAACUGCGCUUGUGACUGGCAGGCUAGAGUACGGCAGAGGGGGGUGGAAUUCCUGGUGUAGCAGUGAAAUGCGUAGAGAUCAGGAGGAACACCGAUGGCGAAGGCAGCCCCCUGGGCCUGUACUGACGCUCAUGCACGAAAGCGUGGGGAGCAAACAGG